GUAUUGGGUUUCAUUCAAAGAUACCCAGAGUCUGAUCCAUUGUCACCACCUCCACUGCUGCCACCAACCUCCAAGCCACCCACCAUCUUUUCUCUCAUCUGGAUUAUCUCACUGGCUUCCUCACAGGUCUCCCCCGUCAUCUCCUGUAACCCCUACCGUGAACAGCUUCUCCAGGAAGUGGCCAGAAGGAAUUCACUGGAAACAUUUACCAACGGAAUGGCCUUGGGCAGGUUAUUUCACUCUUCUGCACUUCAGUCUCUUUAUUGAAACAAAAGAGAAAAUAAUAGUAGCUGCCUCAUGAGGCUGUUGCGAGGAUUCAGUGAAAUAAGGUAGGAGCGCCUGGCAUAUAGUAAGCCCUGGCGUUAUUAGUCGUCUGUCAUUUCACUUACCACGCUGUGUUGUAACUAGUUUUUUAAGAGUCCUCUCUUCCCACUAGAUUGGGUGUUGCUGGAAGGCAUGUACCAUAGAAACACCUAGCACCACACCUCAAGUCAGGCCUCUGCUCAAACCCUCCCCAGUGGCUUCUCAUUUCAUCUGAAACAAUAUCGAAAGGCUCUGCUGGCCCACAAGGCUCCGUGUGAUCUGGGCCUGACUGUAUCUCCUCGGACUCCCCUUCCUCUUACUCACUUCCUUCCUGCCACAUGGACUUCGAGGCUUUUCCAUCACCCCACACAGGUUUUGCCUCAGGACCUUUGCAUUGGCUGGUCGCUUGGUCUAGAAAGCUCUUUGCCUGGAUAUCUGUACGGCUCAUUUCUUCCAUUCAAGUCUUGGCUUAAUUGUUAUCUCUUCAGAAAGGCCUUAUUCGUCCCCCCCUUCAACCUCCGGCCACCCCUUGGCCUAUUUUAUAUUUCGCCACCACUUGCUCUUAUGUUACAUAUCCAUUUUUUGUUUCCUUGUUUAUUGUCUGUCUUGCCCACCAGGAUAUAAGCUCUAUGAGGGCUAGGAGGCUGUCUACUUUACCACAAUAUUCCCAAUGCCCAGGAAGGUGCCUGGCUCAUGGAAUGUACGGACCAAAGCCACCUGAUGAAUAAAUCAUCAAGCCUGGAGGAGCCCAGCCCAGACUGCAGCCCCAAUCCUCCUGACUGUUUUAAAACUGGAAGAGAAAGAGAGAGAGAGACAGAGAGAGAAAUUCCAUAUCUGAACACCACAUUGGGGGACGUUUCCACUUGCCCUGAGUUUCAACCCGCUUUGGGGACUGUCGGAAGUGCACAGCCGAGCGCUGCCAGCACCCAGCACACGGAGCGGUUCGGGCUUGUUCAAGCCUGGAAACAAACUCUGGUUCCCAGGGCUGUGACUGACCUGCUGAUUCUACGUCACCAUCAUACUCUUAGGAGCAUGAUUUCCUUUCAGAGGACUUUGAGAUUCAUAGCACGUGCUGUAAACAUGUCUCCUGGACACUGAACUCAGCGUUCAAGGCUUCUCUUCAAUAAUUCACUCACCCAAUACAUUUUAUUGAGCACUGACUACUUGUCAGACCAGGACCUGGAGUGAACGAGACAGACAUGGAGCCUACGCUCGGGAAGCCUGGUCAUCUUGGGUGGGAGACGCGACACAGACAUGGUGGGGAAGCUGUAUGCAAGGCCGUCAUUGUGGAAGUUCUGUCUGUGAGCCCCUCGAUGGGUUUUUAGCAGAACACCUUUUACACAGAUGGUGUGAAAUGAAUACACUAUCCGUUGAAAUGAAGCAGAGGAAACACAAUGAAGAAGUACCCACUCACGUUGUGGUACCAGCCUCUCAGAGCAGCCAGCAGAGGAGAGAGACCCCCUCCUUAACAGGUAAGGCUGCUGAGACUGGGAGGUUAGGUGCCCCACACACGGAGAUCACUGGAAGAGCCAGGAUUUGAACACUGGCUCUCCUGACUCCAAAGCUGGUGUUCUUUCCACUGUGUCACAGAGAAGUAAUAUAUAUGUCUCCAUCCUCUGAGGGUUUCAGACCACCUGAAGAUGGUCUGGCUGUAGGGGAGUUUAGGACCAGACCUUAGGGGGGGCUUGAGUAUUAAAGUAACAGUCUAGGUUUUUUGAGCAGGGCAAAUGACACAUUAGGAGCUGUACUUGAGAAAGAGAAGCACUGACUGGGAGUGACAAUCACAGGAAGAAUAUAUCAGCUAUUUCUGUUGAGCUCUGUGCUCACCCCAGCCCUGCUGUUAUCAAGCUCAUGUUAGAGACGAGGAAAAGGAGGAUCAGAGAGGUUAAGCGUCUACCUAGACUCCCAUGGCUGGUAAGAGGGAUUUGAAGUCACAGCCUGACGACCUCCUCGCCUGUCUGGGUGAGAGGUCAGGAGCUGGAGAAAAGGCUGUGGGAAAGGAGAGGCUGGUGGUCAGGGGAAGGGACCUGCAGAGAAGUAUCUGGAUUUGUGCCUCCCUGAGCCCUGGUCCACCCCGGUGUCAUUGUCCCUUGACAAUCUUUGCCUUUUCUUGUGCUGUGUCCCUUCCUAGAAUGCCCUUCCCCUCCUUGUGGUCUCUUGAAAGCUGACCCACCCAUCCCAAAGGCCACCUCCUUCCCUGACCUCCCAUUGUUGGCACCUCCUUGAGCCUCAACCCAGUAAUUGAAGCCAAGAUCAGAACCUGAACCUCUCACCUCUCGGCUGUGCCACUUGGUCUAGUCUCUGCCUCAGUUUCCUCAUCUGUCAUAAGGAUGUCAUAAGAACUACUUUACUAGAGUUCUGUCAAAACUAAAUGAAAGGCAACCAGGAAUAUGUGUGAGCUCUAAAAAUCAAAGAGUGACAGUUUUGCGUGACCAGUGGCUUCUUGUUAAUCUUAUCACACUGCCCCACUAGAUUACGAGAUUAUGAACUGAAGUUAUUUUCACCUCUUGUCUAUCUCUCAGUGGCAGACUCCACAGAGACCAGUCAUGCUGAGGCUUCCACGUUGGGAGUCUUGCUGGGGAAAGGCCCUGGGAACCUCCCCACUGCCCACCAGCCCUUUCCUGAGUCUGGCCUGGCCUCUGGCUCCUGAGGCAGCUGCAGCCCCGCACAAUUCACCUCCUUCCUGUGUAACCCAUUUCAGGAUUAGCCAGCCAGGAGGUCAUAAAAUGCAAAGAGGAAGUGGGAGCAUCCCACAAUUGUAGGAACCUGGACUCCAAGGGAAGUAACCUGUCUGUUGGUCUAUCUGCCUUUGGGGGAGUGGGCCAUAAAUCGCCAUCUUAAGGGUGGUGAAAGGAUGUGAGCCAUUUAUAAAGAGUCUGGAGCUUUUGAACUGUUUAAAGAGGCACUAGCCUUCUUGCAGGUAAUUGGAGUUUGGUAUCAAGGGCUCAGAUGCUCCCAUCAAACAAAGCCACCAGCGGCCCGAUGGUGGGGAGUGUGUGCGCAGGGAAGCACAGAGGCUCAGACACAGGCCUGGCCAGUCCCCCUGUUCUCCCCUGGGUCCCUGACACCAGGUUGGUCAUUGAGCGUGCUUAGGACAACUCGUGCCUAAGGACUGCCUGCUUCCUUCCAAGAGUAAGAGAGGCGGCCACAAGAGGAACGAUAAGUGCUCCUCCAGGUUUGCAUAAAAUGCUGACUUUGUACUUGCUGUUUCUUCCCCCUUGAGUACUCUCCCCACCAAUCCCUUCUUAAAUGUCAGCUCCUCUGAGCCCAUCCCUGACAAUGCUUACAUCUUUCAUCGCAUUAUUUGGUUUUGUUUCCUUCAAGAACUUGCAAACUGCUGGGGUCGGGCUCCACAGCCAUGUGUCCCCACUGGACCCUGACCACCAGCAUCCUGCUUGGCACAUGCUCCCUAAGUACCUGUUGCCCGGAGGAUUGAAUUAACAUAAGAAUCACACAGAGGAGGGGACUGAGGCUCUGUUGGGGGAGUAGAUUGGAUGUGAAAGGCUUCAGAGAGGUGACAUCUGAGUGUACCCUGCGAGAGGAGCAGCCCCGAAGUGCAGGCCAGGUGGGGACUGCCUGCCAUGUUUCAGAGAGCGGGAGCAGUGUAGUGUGACUCCAGUACCGGCAGGAGGCAAGGCGAUAAGGGAGGGUUGCCAGGGGGGUUAUACAGGCUCUGAAAGUUGUGCUACAAAUAACUUUGAUUAGAAAAAAAAACUGCCAGGGGUUCAGGGGGAGUAAGAGAGGGGUGAAGAGGUAGCGCACAGCGGACUUGUAGGGCAGUGACACUAUUCUGUGCAGUCCCAUGAUAGUGGAUUCAUGUGUGAUCCAUUUGUCAAAUCCCACAGAAUGUCCAACAGAGUGAACCCUAAUGUAAACCAGGGACUUUAGCUAACGUAUCAAUAUUGGCUCAUCAACUGUAAAGAAUUGUACUAUGCAUGUUAAUAACAGGAAAUUGGUGGAGAAAGGGAUAGUAUGGGAGCUCUCUACUUUCCACUCAUUUUUCUGU